CGUCUCCUCGAGUUGAGCGCGAGAGACAGGAGAGUGCAAACCUGUCGGCGAUCCUUUCGUUCGUGCAUCCGACUGACUUUUCGGGUAGCGUGUGCGCGUUCGCGCAAUUACCACAGCACGAGAGACUGUUGUGCUUGUGGGAAAACAUAUUACACGCUUUGCCAUCAGUUGAAAAAUAAAGGAGGGAAAGCGAAAGACUGGUAAGGAACGAAGAAAACAAAGAAAGAAGAAGAAAGAGAGAGCGAGUGAGGUACACGUUGGAAAGAACUCAACUGGCAGCACUCGAGCGUGUGCGUGUGUGUGUGUGCGCGCGCGCGCUCUGUGGGAUAACUGCGAUCGGCCGACUCUGGUGACACGAGCCCAUGAACUCUUUCGCGAGUAACCGAAGAAUUCCUCCUCCUUUUGCUCCCCUCCAUUUUCCUUCCCGUACGUAUAAACUUAGACGAUUUCGCGCGUCUACGCGUCGUCUCUUUUCCUUUUCAUUUUCGUCGAGUCGUCCACGUUUCUCCACUCUGGUUACAUUUAAAGGGGAACUAUACGUAACAAAAAAAAACGAGAGAGAAAGAGAGAGAUUAAGGAAGAUAGAAUAUAAUCUUAAAUCGUGUAAAAGUUGUGAUUUCGCACGCGGCUUGACCGUUUCUGUAAUGGAGGAACAGUCAUCAGUGUGUGUUGUCGUCGCUAUCGUGCGUAAGGAGGACGGUUGCCACGGCGAUGAUCGUCGGUGUGGCUGAAACUGGAGGGAUUUUUUUUGUUCCUUUCGGAUCAACGUGCUGCCUGGCCGGCCGGCCGGGUGACCAACAAGGACAGUGUGAAAUUUUGAUAUGGGAUCGUCCAGGGUCUUCGACUCGGCUCGGCCUCGCAACUAUCUGUGACAACCACUGGCCGCUUUAAGUAGUGAGAGAGGAAGGAGAUACGUAGUUAAGCUAGGUACUUACAGGAGCAGAACGGAGAGAGAUAGAGAGUGCGUGAUGCAGAAGAGAGACGGCAGGGAUGGCCGCGAGAAGGAGCUUGGCCGUGGGUCCGAUCGCGAUCAGCAGGACGCGGCGAAAAGGGCCUCCCGUGGUAGUGGAAACGCCACGAGGUCCAACGUCCAUUCUUCGAGGCAUAGUGUCACCUCUUCGUCCGCUGUCCUGAUGGUCGGCCCGAACUUUCGGGUCGGCAAGAAAAUUGGCUGUGGUAACUUCGGGGAACUUCGACUUGUUUAAAGCGAUUUGGCAAAUGAGCGGAUCGUAUAUUGAGAGAGAAGCAGAAGGAGUAGAGGAUGGCGAAGGUGUUCUCACAUAGAACAGAAAGAAAAACCGAAGCUUGGCAAGUCUUCGCGAGAGAGUUGGAUGAGAGAAAUAAAGAUAGAAGAGGAAGGAGAGAUGUUCUUUCACACGCAUAAAUACGCAUAAGAAGGAGAAGAAGGUUCGAGGGCAGGUAGCAACCUGUCUGCUCGGAGUCAACUCGCCGGCUCGAGUGACUCAGGAGAACCUGAUGACUGCAAAGUGAAAUGAACUCGGUCCCGGAUCCGGCUAGACUAGCCUCAACGCCGUCUAACGUUCUUUUAACAGUGUGCGUUCGCGGUUCUUCAUCGCAUAACCUUCUUUUCUAUAAUAAAUGUGUACAUGUGUGUCUGGCUGUUGCUCGAUGUGUGUGGGACGUAUAUGUGUUUAUUGGGUAGAAACAAGUCGUAGCAUGCAACGACGAAGCGCCAAUGAAAACGCUAUAUACUUUCGACGAGACAACAACCGUUGUUGCUACUCCUUCUAUUUAUUCCUUAUUCUCUAUUUUUAUUUCUAUUUAAUCUAUGCAUUUUGUGGAUCCCACAUUUACACGUGCUGCACUUACAUGCUGCCCAAAUUUAUUUCGUGUGGGCGUGUGAG